CGAAGGAGGGUGGUGCGGGUGCGGGACGAGGUGAAGUGCUCAAAAAGGACAAGGCGAGCUUCCUGCAGGAACUGCAGCUGUUCCACGACCGGAAUGGGAUGGGAGGUAGGAAUGUGGAUUCGCACCGGUUGUAUUCGGUGGUGGUGGCCCGGGAUUGGUGAUUGAAGGUCAAUUCCCGCGAGGACUGUAACGAGAUCAUCGAGGAGAUGGCGCUGCCGAAGAGUUGCGUGCACAACGAGAUAGCAUUGAAGAAGAUAAACAUCCGGUUUUUGGACAAGUACGAGACAGGUGAUUUUCACGGUGAGGAGAAGGAGCCGACGAAGAGGAGGACGUCGAGAAGCGGGAUAAUCGGAGGUAGCCAGAGCGGAUGUUGCACUCGGUGCCGGCGGUUUACAACACCUCAAAUAACCGCCCACAAACGCUCAUCUCGCGAUGGCGCAGCUCCAGCCGAAUGAACCCUGGACAGCGUGCCGAAAAAAUCUUUGUCAUUCUCGAAGGAGGAUGAAGUGCUCGAAAUCGAAUUCCGUUCCGAGGGCCUCAUCAACCCAAUCUUCCGGAUGCGCUUCCAGAAUCGGGAACUCCCCGUUCAGGCACUUCACUUUCCAGCCAGGAAACGUCGAUCACCCUUGCCGAAUCUACAGACAACUUCUCCAAACCUGUCCUGAUGAAGGCCGGCAACCAUCCUGUUCUCUACUUUGCUGUCGCGCGUCGAAACGUCCGUCUGGAACCGUCCAGCUUGGGGUCUUCGAAAGUGACCGGUGGCGUACCUUAAGAAUCGGUACAGCUUGGACUCGGAUUUUGGCCAGAAGCGUUAAAUACAAUAACAAAAUGUCUUAUUUAACAUACUGUUUAAAACUUUUAAAAAUAAAUAUAAAAUCAAGCCUAGAAUCAAGCACAUUUUUCUGAAAUUAACACUGUAGUAUUAAAUGUUGUUUAUUCUUGCUAUAAAAGGUUUCUUUUCCAAUUAAAAGUAAAACACUUUUACCGAUACAACGAUUUUGUUCCAUAAAUGCAUGGUAGUAUCAAAAACUUUCCAACUUUUAAAUUGAAAAGUUUGAACUUUCUACGAAUAUUCACCAACGCGAACUUUUAAUCCAACGAACGAUCUUUUUAAAUUCAGAGUAUUUUUUCUUUGUGUGCGGUUGUAUUCCCGGGGUGGAACGGGGUGGGUAGACGAGAUUGAAGGUGAAGCAGAUUUCAAUCCGCUUUUUGAACAAGUACGAAAAAGUUAAUUUUCACGGUGAGGACAAGGAUCCGACGGAAGAGGGAAACGACGAGUAGCGGCAUAAUCGGAGGUGGUCAGCGCGGAUGUUGCACUCGGUGCCGGCGGUUUACGACCAUCAGCAGCAUUAUGUGCCAGAAGUGAUGACGGGACAGUGUGGGAUGUCCCGAGGGUCCGCAGUCCAUUUCUCGUUGCGGGACGAGUAUUACCUAAACAUCCGGAAGAACAGUUUGCACUAGUUCUGGAAGGACCGUCUGUACGAAAGCCGCAGGUCCUGGAGCUGUCGUACUCAGAUUACUUCCAGAGGUUUGAGCGAGAUCCGAUGAAU